rnacentral:rRNA from 2 species
CAUAGAUUGCUUGCAAUCUGAUGACGAGUGGCGCACGGGUGCGUAACGCGUAUGCAAUCUACCUUUUACAGGAGAAUAGCCCAGAGAAAUUUGGAAUAAUGCUCCAUAAUAUCAUUUAUCAGCAUUGGUUUAUGAUUAAAGCUCCGGCGGUAAAAGAUGAGCAUGCGUUCUAUUAGCUAGUAGGUGAGGUAACGGCUCACCUAGGCUACGAUAGAUAGGGGCCCUGAGAGGGGGAUCCCCCACACUGGUACUGAGACACGGACCAGACUCCUACGGGAGGCAGCAGUGAGGAAUAUUGGACAAUGGAGGAAACUCUGAUCCAGCCAUGCCGCGUGCAGGAUGACUGCCCUAUGGGUUGUAAACUGCUUUUAUAUAGGAAGAAACACUCCCACGUGUGGGGGCUUGACGGUACUAUAUGAAUAAGGAUCGGCUAACUCCGUGCCAGCAGCCGCGGUAAUACGGAGGAUCCAAGCGUUAUCCGGAAUCAUUGGGUUUAAAGGGUCCGCAGGCGGCCUGUUAAGUCAGAGGUGAAAUCCUACAGCUCAACUGUAGAACUGCCUUUGAUACUGAUAGGCUUGAGUUAUUGUGAAGUGGUUAGAAUGUGUGGUGUAGCGGUGAAAUGCUUAGAUAUCACACAGAAUACCCAUUGCGAAGGCAGAUCACUAACAAUAUACUGACGCUCAUGGACGAAAGCGUGGGGAGCGAACGGGAUUAGAUACCCCGGUAGUCCACGCCGUAAACGAUGGAUACUAACUGUUCGACCUUCGGGUUGAGUGGUCAAGCGAAAGUGAUAA